rnacentral:tRNA from 1 species
CGCUGGUAGCUCAGCUGGAUAGAGCGCCCGAUUACCAUUCGGGGGGUCGCGGGUUCGAGUCCCGCCCGGCGCC